UGGCCGUGAUGAAACAAAGGCCGGACUCACGGCUGCCGGCGAUUUUGGCCGGUAGUAGAUUGAUGAGACUCUUGACGUGAAGGUGUUGUUUGCUGAGCUGA